rnacentral:rRNA from 1 species
AUUGAACGCUGGCGGCAGGCCUAACACAUGCAAGUCGAGCGGAUGAGGAAAGCUUGCUUUUCGAUUCAGCGGCGGACGGGUGAGUAAUGCCUAGGAAUCUGCCUGUUAGUGGGGGAUAACUCGGGGAAACUCGGGCUAAUACCGCAUACGUCCUACGGGAGAAAGUGGGGGAUCUUCGGACCUCACGCUAACAGAUGCGCCUAGGUCGGAUUAGCUAGGAGGUGGGGUAAUGGCUCACCUAGGCGACGAUCCGUAACUGGUCUGAGAGGAUGAUCAGUCACACUGGAACUGAGACACGGUCCAGACUCCUACGGGAGGCAGCAGUGGGGAAUAUUGGACAAUGGGCGAAAGCCUGAUCCAGCCAUGCCGCGUGUGUGAAGAAGGUCUUCGGAUUGUAAAGCACUUUAAGUUGGGAGGAAGGGUAUUCACCUAAUACGUGGGUACUUUGACGUUACCAACAGAAUAAGCACCGGCUAACUCUGUGCCAGCAGCCGCGGUAAAAC